CCUUCAUCUAUGCCCCCAUGCCCCUUCCCUCCCCUUCCACCACAACAGACUUACCAGCUGCACACAGCUGUAUUGGAAAUCAGAUUGGUAUCGGCUGAUAUGCCUCCUUAAAAAUUAGUUAUUGGUAUCAGCCUCAAAAAUCUCUGUCGGUGCACCCGUAAUUGCUAGCUCUUUCGCAGAGCAGCAAGUAUUUUAACUUUCCCACUGGGAAAAUGGGAAUAUCUUGAAAUAAUUGAGAAAAGUGUUCUUUUGAAGUGCAAAGAAUCAUUACUUGUAGGGCCUGAUGUUUCAUUGGUACAUGGCAAACACCCAUGUAAAAGAAGAGUAGGGAGAAGCUCUUACAUUGUAUGCAUUUAGCACAGAGUGUGGAUUAGACAGGACACUUGUCUAUGAUAUAAAAACAUCAGAGCACUUUUAGCAGUUGGGGGGGGGGGCCUAGAAUGGUGUUUCCCAACCCAUAGCUUCUGAGGCUGUGUUAUCUGCAAGACUCCCUGAUAUUCCUUGUAGCCACAGGAAAAUUUACUUUCCAGAGAACCUGCAGAAAUUUUUAAUAGAAAAAAAGUGGGAUGAUGCCUUUAAUACGUUACUUGCUCAGUAUUACUGCUCAUGGUCCAGUGCAGUUUGGGCCUACUGUAGUCAGUGGGGUUGAUAGUCCCGGUCAACUAAUGCCUGCAUUUCUACCCUGCCACUGGUUAAAUAACAAGUGUACGGACAACAGCUUAUAAACUAAUGAGCUUUACCACAAGCAUUUUGAAAUGGCAAGUGAGCACUGUGAGAUUGUAGCGUGAGGAUGAAGACUGACAGUGGCUGCUGUGUGCAUCUUCAUGCCGAAUGCAACCUUUGAAUAUCACCUAGAAAGUGAAGCUACGUAGGCUGUUUGGUUUCCUGCUGAAAAACUGACUUGUCUUGAAGCAGCUGGGAGACAAAAUUCUUCCUUGAUGUAGCUCUGCUGCAAUCCUACCCAACAGUCCAGGCUAGGUACUUUGUGCUAGUUCAGCAGUGAUUUGUUAGAGAAGAGAAACACCUGUUGGUAAAAGGUGGUACUGCAGAGGUAACCAGGAUUGGGAACUGCUCAUCGCUGCUAGAUGCAUUGUUAGUUUAUAGACAUCAUCCAAUGGCAUUGACUACUGGAAAGGCAUAUCCACUAAAAUACUGACUGUUAAGAGUUGCUGUUGCAUCAGUUUGUGCGGAAGGAGUGAGAAGAAGAACCCCCCUGGAAUAACUAGUCUAGAAAAAAUCAGUUAUAAAGAAUUCUUCCUGAGGCAGUCAGGCUUACAUCCUGGUAAAUACAAAACUUUUGCACCAGGCUGGGCCAGCAACUUGGCUAAGGAGCUGCCAGAUGAUCAGGGCUAGAGAGUGAGAGCCUCUACUGCCCAGGAUGAAGCAUCAAGAAAGAGAAAUGUCUUCCAGGGUAGCCAGAUGUCAAGUUACGUAGGAUUUGACAGGUCAAAGGCAACACCCCUAGUUGCACCUGGAAACAAAAUAGGAAGCUAGUGAUGCAGGCAACAAGAUUUUGUGAGAGAGAUCAAUUUUCUUCUCAGGCUUAAAUAUCCAGCCAAGUCUUUGAUCACAGCCUUGUAUUGAAUGGCCAGGUGUGGAAGAGGCAUGAAUAUCCUGUAGCAAGGUACGAACUGGAGGGUAAGGUUCACGCACACUCCCUGUCAGAUACGAGAUAAACCGUCUUCACUGUUGCAGUCUGAGAACCUGAGAAAACCUCCUCCAGUCGUAACCAGCUCAACAGAGGGAAUGGAAAUUACUUUUGCCAUGAAGUGACCUUUAUCUUGUCUGGAUUACUCUUCAGAUGAAUUGCUUUUAUCCAAGUGCUGAUCCUUGUCCAAUACUGUACUGUUUACAUUCAGCAAGAGGAGACUCAAAGGGCUGCUGUUAGGCUAAAGACAUUAAAGCAUUUUGAGAUGUCCAGUUCGAGGCUGCUCCAGAAGAGCAAAAUAUAAUAAAUGCACACUGUGUUUAAAGGUA